CGGAGUCUCACUCUGUCACCCAGGCUGGAGUACAGUGGGAUGAUCUCAACUCACUGCAACCUCUGCCACCUGGGCUCAAGCAAGUCUCCUGCCUCAGCCUCCUGAGUAGCUGGGAUUACAGGCACCUGCCACUGCGCCUGGCUAAUUUUGUAGUUUCUAGUAGAGAUGGGGUUUCACCAUCUUGGCCAUGCUGGUCUUGAACUCCUGACCUCGUGAUCCACCCACCUCGGCCUCCCAAAGUGCUGGGAUUACAGGCGUGAGUCACCGCGCCCGGCCCCAUUGAAGACUUUAUCUGUGACCGACAUCGUUGAGGAUGGGAGGUUGAACCCCAGUGGACAGUCACUUCCACCCUGGCUCUUACGGCUGCACGAGCCAGGCUGAGAAUUCUGCAGGUGCCGUUGUCUGUGGUCUGACUGUGACCUGAACCUGGCGGCUGGCAAGCUCCGUGUGUCUCUGAGGCGUCUUGGCUCUGCUGCACCCAGAGGUUUAAUGAACGUGAGAAAACAUCGCACGGGAGGUGCUGGCAAACCCCCUCCCGACAAGGGCCACAGUCCAGGUCCUGGGAGGGGCUCACGCUGCUCAGCCGCCAAAGAUAUGGGGAAGCCCCCCAGACCAGUGACCCAUUAUCCAUAUCCAUGGGGGCCUAAGGAGAAGGGGACUUGCCUUCAGGUAGCUCCCAGUCCGGUGAUCCCCCUGCCGACAAGCGCCCAUGUGUGUAAAGUGGGGUAAUGGAGGUGGCUCAGGGAGCACUGACCGUGAAACAGGCGAAGUGGCCACUGCCUGAGCGUUCCACAUUGUUCCAGCGCCAGCCUGACGGGCAUUUGUGGGCAUUGGGCGGAGCACCUAUGACAUCGACAGAACCCCAGCGCCCGCCCCAGAGGACAGCGCCGAUGGAGAGGAACCAGGGGCACAGAGACGUUAACUGACUUUCUCCCAGUCACACAGCAGUAGAGGAAAGGGCCUAGGCAACCCCACCCUCCCAGGCUCCCAGCAGUAGAUGGAUGAAGGAUGAGGGGACACCUAGGGAGGAGGGCAGGGAUGGGAGGACCAGGAGCUAAGGCUGGGAGCCGGGAGGAAGGCGGCCGGCACUCAGGUGAGUGUGGGGCCAAUGCCAGGCCCUGGGCGUGGAACCGGGGAGUUCGUGUUUCAGCUCCACAGCCAGGACUCACUUUGCAGGGAGAGCGAGGGGGAGGGUCACCUGCUCCCUGAAGCCAGGUGUGGGCAGUCAGGCUGGCUUCCUCUCCAGGCCACCUCACCCCACUUCCACCCCACCACUUCCACCCCACAGGAGGAGCGUGGGCAGGCAAGUCCCGGCAAGGGUGCUGCUUUCCUGGGCCUGAGCCACGCCCAGUGGCCGUGGGGCUGGGGAGAUGGCAGAUGUGGGGGAGAAUGUUGAGGCUGGUGAUCGGUGAUAGCUGCGGCCCAGCCAGUUUGGGUACUGCAUGCGCCAUCCAAAGCCCCGAGGCCCGGGAGACGAGCCAGCCCAGUCAGAUCGCCAGUGGAGAGCCAGGCCGGGCAGCUGGGAGACCUGGCUGCAACGGUGCCUCUGGGCUCCAGGGGUAGGUUUGGCCUCAGCGGUCCUGACUCAGGAUGCCCCGGCCUUCUCCACGGGUGCCCAGCACAGGGGCUCCUCCCAGGGCCAACACUGCACUCUCCAAGGAUUUACUCUACCCUCUGGAGUGGGACCCCUGGCAUCACCCGUGCCACCCCACCUUCCUUGCUGGGCCAGCCUCCACACGGCCGAGAGUGAUGAUGUGGUUGAUAAUCACCACCACCAUUAUCGAGCCCAUUUCACAUGCUGAGCCCUGAGCCCCAGACACACAUAGCCUGGGCUCGUCCCCUCCUGCCCUGCUCCCGCGCUGUUCGUACCCUCAAGGUCCCUGUGUGUGUUUGCUGCAAGCGGCAUUUGGGUAGGUUCUUUGCAUCUGUUUUCUCUACUCCUUGCAACAGCCUUGUCCCCAUUUUACAGAUGAUAAAUUGAGCCACGCAGAGGAGAGGUAACUCCCUCCUGUCCUCAGAGUGUCCCGAAGACCCUCCUUUGCCUGGUGAGUGACAUACUAGAGCCCGCACGGUGACAGCUCAGGUAUGUGGCACCCCUCGGACCCACCCCUCCCUGGGUGGAGUGGCCCAGCUGUGGUGGGCACUUCCUCACCCAGCCGUGGGCACAGGCCAGACCCUGAGCCCAGCGGCCCUGUAAUUUCAGAUGUAGCUGGGCAUGUGUGUGUUAUUGGGUGAUACUUAAAUCCUAACCUUUUCAAAAGCAAACCCAAGUAAGCACAUAUUGGAGAACCAUAAUUCCAAGCUUGGAGGCCUCCCUCAAGGCGAUGGGGAGUGUGGCAUCGUGACCGCUAACCCGGUCCCUCCGCGGCCUUGGGUUUAAAAGCGUCUGUGUCCAGCCGGGAGGUGAACUCCUGACAGCAACGCCCGUCCAGCCCACACCUCUGCCUGGCAGUGUGCAGCAGGACCCCUGAAGCCCAAGUCGAGAGCAGCGCCUGGUCUCCACCCGAGACUGGGUGGCGGAGAAGCGCUGCCUCUGACCUCAGUGAGCAUGGAGAGGCGGUGACAGGUUUGGACAGUAGAGAUUUCAGCAAUUUCUGGAAGGUCUGAACAGGACCUGCCUCGGAAGCAGAAUCGGAUUCCGCUGACUGGGACAACGUCACGUGACAGCGAGUCCAGCGCCCGGGGCCUGGGAGAACAAAGGCGGCUGACCCGUCACAGGAGCUGCACGGCAAUGCAUCUGAGACCAUGCGGUGUCACCUUCACAGAAGUGCUCUGGCACAGAGACUCCAGCCUUGCCGGCCUCUCGCCUCCCAAGCACAGAAGCCUCCAGAACGCUGCUUCAAGGACAAGCCCAGGAGACCUGCCAUGCUCAUGCGUGUCUUUGGAAACAGGUUCUCUAAAUUUUGCUUGUGGUUUGUUAAAAAAAAAAAAAAAAUCAGAAGUGUAAUCAAAGACUUCAACAAACGAAGCACCAAAACACUUCAGCUUUGAAAUGUAGAAUUGCAAUGACUGGAAACACGGCUCGCAAAGCAAAAGACAUUAAAAUUCAGUCAUCCCUACAGAAGCCGGACAGGAAUUGAUCACAUCCACUAGUGAAGGCUCAGAAAGUGACAAGAUUUCAUUUGGAAAUCGUACCUGUGUCCUUGGGAACAUCCUGAACCUUGGGAAGCAUCAGCUCAUGGAGUUCCUAUUAACUGGAUAAAUUUAUAUUCUAGAUUGAAAUGGAAUGGAAUUAAGUAGGCCCACGGUUUUGCAGCACGUACAUUUGAAGAAUCAUUAAAAAUCAUCAUAGAAACAAUUUAUUUGACGAGAUUUGUCUUGUACAAAUAUUUGUUAAAUAUUUGUACUCCGAACGGAGGCCAAAAGACAGCACCUGUGGGAAACUUUAGGCUGAAAUAUUUACACAUUUCAACGCAAAAUGUCAGAACUGAGAAUCUGCCGUGUGCUCACAAGGUACCCCAACCCUGCAGAGAGAGACAAUUUUCUUGAUCCAAAUGUCAUCAUCUACCCAGAAGUGUCCAUGGACAGCACAGAUUCACAUUCUGGGGCCGUUAAAAUGUGAAUGUGAGCUAUCAAUGGACACUUCUGGGUAGAUCAUGACCUUUGGAUUAAUUAAGAUUGAUCCAGGCCCGGCGCAGUGGCUCAUGCCUGUAAUCCCAACACUUUGGGAGGCCGAGGUGGGCAUAUCACUAGAGGUCGGGAGUUCGAGUCCAGCCUGGCCAAUUUGGUAAAAACUGUCUCUACUGAAAAUACAAAAAUUAGCUGGGCACGGUGGCAGGUGCCUUUAAUCCCAGCUGCUUGGGAGGCUGAGGCAUGAGAAUCGCUUGAACCCAGGAGGAAGAGGUUGCCGUGAGCCAAGAUUGCGCCACUGCACUCUAGCCUGGGUGACAGAGUGAGACUCCAUCUCAAAACAAACAAACAAACAAACAACCCAAAAAAUUAGC
rnacentral:lncRNA from 1 species